rnacentral:rRNA from 1 species
GAUGAACGCUGGCGGCGUGCCUAAUACAUGCAAGUCGAGCGAACGGACGAGAAGCUUGCUUCUCUGAUGUUAGCGGCGGACGGGUGAGUAACACGUGGAUAACCUACCUAUAAGACUGGGAUAACUUCGGGAAACCGUAGCUAAUACCGGAUAAUAUUUUGAACCGCAUGGUUCAAAAGUGAAAGACGGUCUUGCUGUCACUUAUAGAUGGAUCCGCGCUGCAUUAGCUAGUUGGUAAGGUAACGGCUUACCAAGGCAACGAUGCAUAGCCGACCUGAGAGGGUGAUCGGCCACACUGGAACUGAGACACGGUCCAGACUCCUACGGGAGGCAGCAGUAGGGAAUCUUCCGCAAUGGGCGAAAGCCUGACGGAGCAACGCCGCGUGAGUGAUGAAGGUCUUCGGAUCGUAAAACUCUGUUAUUAGGGAAGAACAUAUGUGUAAGUAACUGUGCACAUCUUGACGGUACCUAAUCAGAAAGCCACGGCUAACUACGUGCCAGCAGCCGCGGUAAUACGUAGGUGGCAAGCGUUAUCCGGAAUUAUUGGGCGUAAAGCGCGCGUAGGCGGUUUUUUAAGUCUGAUGUGAAAGCCCACGGCUCAACCGUGGAGGGUCAUUGGAAACUGGAAAACUUGAGUGCAGAAGAGGAAAGUGGAAUUCCAUGUGUAGCGGUGAAAUGCGCAGAGAUAUGGAGGAACACCAGUGGCGAAGGCGACUUUCUGGUCUGUAACUGACGCUGAUGUGCGAAAGCGUGGGGAUCAAACAGGAUUAGAUACCCUGGUAGUCCACGCCGUAAACGAUGAGUGCUAAGUGUUAGGGGGUUUCCGCCCCUUAGUGCUGCAGCUAACGCAUUAAGCACUCCGCCUGGGGAGUACGACCGCAGGGUUGAAACUCAAAGGAAUUGACGGGGACCCGCACAAGCGGUGGAGCAUGUGGUUUAAUUCGAUGCAACGCGAAGAACCUUACCAAAUCUUGACAUCCUUUGACAACUCUAGAGAUAGAGCCUUCCCCUUCGGGGGACAAAGUGACAGGUGGUGCAUGGUUGUCGUCAGCUCGUGUCGUGAGAUGUUGGGUUAAGUCCCGCAACGAGCGCAACCCUUAAGCUUAGUUGCCAUCAUUAAGUUGGGCACUCUAAGUUGACUGCCGGUGACAAACCGGAGGAAGGUGGGGAUGACGUCAAAUCAUCAUGCCCCUUAUGAUUUGGGCUACACACGUGCUACAAUGGACAAUACAAAGGGCAGCGAAACCGCGAGGUCAAGCAAAUCCCAUAAAGUUGUUCUCAGUUCGGAUUGUAGUCUGCAACUCGACUACAUGAAGCUGGAAUCGCUAGUAAUCGUAGAUCAGCAUGCUACGGUGAAUACGUUCCCGGGUCU